AUGUCUGACUUGGACUUGGUUGCUUACAUAAACGAGGAGAACAAAAGAAGAAAGAGGAGGCGAAUAGUUUUGACCAAACUGCACUUUGAAUCGUUUCUUCUUGGGAUAGCAUAUCUUAGUACGCAGAGGGCACCAAGGGAUUUAGGAAGCUUUAGUGACGAUGAGGAAAAAAACAUUCAUCGGAAGUAUUUGCUAAAAGGAUUGUAUGAUGGGGCAGAAGUAACAUGCUAUGAUCAGCUACGUUUAACUAAAAGAAACUUCCAUGACUUAUGCACCAUGUUGCGUGAGAGGGCUGGUCAAAGUGGAUUUGGGUGGGAUUGGAUCAAUAACAAGUUGUCGAUUGAUAGUGAAGAUGUGUGGAUUAAAUAUGUCGCGGCUAACAAGAAAGUAGGAUUUUACAAGAACAAGGUCAUUAAGAAUUGGGAUGCUAUCACCACCAUAUACUCAAAAGAUCAUGCAAAUGGUGAAGGUGCUGUCACAGGUGCUGAAACUGUUGUAGAACCAACUAUGGAACCCAAUGAAGCCUCUCCUGAAGUGCCACACAAAAAACAGCGGACUGGUGAUGCCAUCCUGUGCCUACUUGGGGAUAUGAAAGGCUCAUUUAAUGAUGCUUUGAAGUCACUUGAGCCUUUACCUCUGCCCCAAGUUACACCUCCUGCUGAAAUCCUCGCGACACUUGAGAUGAUCCCUGAUUUGGCUCGUGGUGACAUAUUGCGAUCUUAUGGUAAGUUGAUCCUUAGCGAACGCUUGUACCAAGCGCUUCUUGAGCUUCCCAUGAACUUCAGGAAGGAAUGGUUGUUGAUGUUGGAAUAG
rnacentral:rRNA from 1 species